UAAGGUAGAGGUGCGACAUAUAAGAGUAAAGAUAACGAGGGAAGUACGAUGACUUAUCUUGAAAGGGUAUGUUGCCGAAGUGUAUAGGUGAUACUUUAAGCCUAUAUAACUGGGGGUAUAUAUAAUAUAUAUAUCACUGUCACUAAAUGUGGAGAGCUAUC
rnacentral:ncRNA from 1 species